CACGUAGGAUCCAAGCGUUAUCCGGAUUUACUGGGCGUAAAGCGCGUGUAGGUGGUUUGUUAAGUUGGGUGUUAAAUCUCUCGGCUCAACUGAGAGGUGUCGCUCAAAACUAGCAGACUGGAGGACGGUAGAGGAAGGUGGAAUUCCGGGUGUAGUGGUGAAAUGCGUAGAUAUCGUAAGGAAGACCAGUGGCGAAGGCGGGUCUCUGGACAGUUCCUGACGCUGAGGCACGAAGGCCAGGGGAGCAAACGGG
rnacentral:rRNA from 1 species